GUCUCGAUUUAGUAGCACAUAUACUAAAAUUAAAGCAACACAGAGAAGACUAGAUGGCCAUUGUACAAGAAUGGCACGCAAAGUCAGUAAUAGAUUUGAGAUCUUA